rnacentral:lncRNA from 1 species
ACAAGCCUAGCUGCUAAUGCGCCAAAAGCCAGUUGUAGGAGGGAAACAGUGUAGAGAUGGUCUUCAGUGCCACCAUCCGUCCGUCUUUCUUCCAGCUGUGCCAGAUCUCCCUCUCCCAGGCAGAAUCCUGCAGGAGUGGGGCACGGACAGCUGCCUGGCAAGGAGGGUUAAGAGGAGAAGAACCGGAAGAGAUCUAACUUGGUUUUUAUACGAAGUUUCAACCAGUCCUCCUGUUUUCAGGCCUGCCCAGCACUCCCACCUUCGGAGGAACCAGUUGCCCCCAAAGGCUGAGUCUUUCUGGGAUUCUCAGACUCGUUGAUCUGUUUUUCCUCAGACAAGUUCAUCUUCAAGAAAACUAAGAGAUCUCUUCCCCUGACAAAAAACAACUCCAUGUUUGAUGGGACUCAGACCUGGGCUCUUCUGUCACCUCUAGGUAGGGAGGUCUUGGAGAGCAAGUGAGACCAGAGUGUUCAUGGAAAGUCACCAUCCACAGACAUUGGAAAAAUAGUCAUUCCCAAUUUCUGCUAUGUGAUCCCGUUUAGGAGUCACCCUACCAAGUGGGUAUGAUGAUGAAGGUGAGCUGCUAAGAAAGAGGUUGAGAGACAGCUGAUGUUUGUUUCAAGCAAAUCUUCUUUAACCCGAGGCACCAGGAGCAGAGGGCCAGUGGGUAAAAAGGUUAAGUAGGAUGGAAUCUACAAUAAAGCCAAAUGUGUGGGUUCUAUUGCUGAUCUUGUCGUUAUUUUGGAUUUUUGGAGUGGAGAUGAAAUGAAAAUGUUUGUUUUGUAUCUACCUGCCCAGGAUGUAAGUAAGAGGGAAGAACAAGACUCUAGGAGAGAAAUAGAGGCUCCCCUAAAAAAACACCUUAAGUAAAUGUCAGGUGAUGUCACCCAUAAAGUCUUCCAGCCAUAAUAAUUUCACCUGAAAGCUAUUUAUUUUGGAAACAGACAGAAAGCCCUGUCUGUUCCACUUUAAAGUUUCACAUUAAUACUCCCUCAUUUUCCGAUGUUAGAAUACUUCCAGGACUAUAGGUGAAAUAAGUCUACUAGAAGAUUAGCCAAACAUCUGUUUGUCUACAUAGUGACCCUUACAGCAUCAAAAUUUUCUUUGACUCUUCC